AGGGCACCACCAGGAGUGGAGCCUGCGGCUUAAUUUGACUCAACACGGGGAAACUUACCCGGCCUGGACACUGGAAGGAUUGACAGAUUGAGAGCUCUUUCUUGAUUCAGUGGGUGGUGGUGCAUGGCCGUUCAUAGUUGGUGGAGCGAUUUGUCUGGUUAAUUUCGAUAACGAACGAGACUCUAGCCUAUUAAAUAGGCUCUCGGCUUUUAAACGCCGGGAGGACUUCUUAGAGGGACAGGUGGCGGUUCAGCCGCACGAAAGAGAGCAAUAACAGGUCUGUGAUGCCCUUUGUUGUCCGGGGCCGCACGCGCGCUACACUGAAGAGAUCAGCGUGCUUUACGUUCCUGCUCCGACCGGAGUGGGGAACCCAGUGAACCUUCUUCGUGAUUGGGAUAGAAGAUUGUAAUUAUUCUUCUUGAACGAGGAAUUCCCAGUAAAUGCGAGUCAUAAGCUCGCGUUGAUUACGUCCCUGCCCUUUGUACACGCCGCCCGUCGCUACUACCGAUUGAACGAUUU
rnacentral:rRNA from 1 species